GGGAAGGGCCGGGUCAGCCAGUGUGUCUUCUCGUGUUGCCGAAGUGUGGCCGGGUCCUUGUAGGUCUUCUCACAGACUGAGCACUUGAAAGGACGAGGCUCGGCUGCAUAGGCUGCACUAGAUCCAUGGGCUCCUCAGGAGUGGCCCCCAGCUCCGCGUACGAGGCACUGUUGCCAACAGGCAGGGCGGAGGGUGCAGCGGGCGCAGGUGCCUGCCUGCACCGUGCACAUACAACGGAGUGUGGACCAGCACAGAAUCUAUACUCCAAGGCUGUCUGAGAAACCCACGAAGCCCCAAGGACUAGAAACCAUGAAAUUACGGAGCCCUCGGUAGGGACUGGGACCGCUACCAGACACAGCAUGCAGGGAGCCUGCGCAGCAGGGCUGGGCUGAGCGGCUGGCCAUGGUCUAGCAAGCCAGUGUCUGGGAGACUGAAGACUGAGAACAUGGCUAGAUACACCAGCCCAUGAAAAGCCAGAUACAGACUUAACUAAAACAGGGUGCACAUGCGGGCUAACAUCCAGCAGUGCCUAUGAACUAAGGGUAACAGG